rnacentral:lncRNA from 1 species
CACUUAACCAGAAAAUAAAUCAACCAAAUUGAUGGAACUUGGUGUUGUGAAAAGAACAUUCAGCUGGAAUUUUACCCUGGCCUGGCCAUAAAUUAACUGCACGACCUUGGGCAAGUCAGCACACCUCUCUGGGCCUCAGUUUCCUCACCUAAACUGGAGAGCUGACGAUGUUCACAACCAGCAAAAAGCCCCAAUCAGAGACGAUGUUUAGAGAGAAGAAAAGGCCCGGGACUCAGAAAAGGAAGCCAACGUUGUUAGGACCCAUGCCUGGCCCGGUGACAAGCCUCUGUUUGUGAGUCUGUAAGAUUGGUAAAUUUUAUCCUAAUUAGAAUUAAGAAAAGCUAAGAAGAACACAUACCAUCUUUAACUGGCACCCAUCAUGCAAUUAAAUUUCCUGCGGCUGCUCCUGCCAAUAUUGACAUUCAUACUAUUGGAUUUUUAACAAUCUUAUUAUUUUGUAAUUGAGAAGAGCAAGAGGAAAAUUACGCUUUCCUGCAUAGAUGAUCUUCUGAGCUAACAUACCCUUUCCUAAGCAGUCGGUCUGGCUGAGCCCGCUCCCCUCCUGAUUCCCCCAGGGCUUGGUGAGGCUUGGGGAAGAGGGGGGUGAGACUCUGAGCGUGUGCUUUUCCAAUGAGAUCAUGCAUCUUGGUUUGGUCUCCACGAAAUAACGAGACCGCUCAUUCCUGCAGACAGAGGCGGCGCUUGGCAGGAAGGUUCUGAUUAGGAGUCACGGACCUGCAUAGAACAGCAUGGCAGAAGCUGAGUUCUCCUGCGAGGUAAGCAUUCAGCCAUCUCGAGAUGUUGGCAGCCACCCAGCGUGGCGGAGGGAAGGAGCAGUGAAUAGAGGGUCCCAGGAGAGCCCAAGUCUUCAGUUCACUCCCUGGGUGACUGUGGACAGAGCGUGCUCUCGGUUCCGGUCCUGUUUCCUCAUGUGUAAAAUGCAGAAGAGAGAGCAGACAGGCUGUUGUCUGCUGGAGAAGCAGCAGAGUGGAGUGGUCAAGAGCAUGGAUCCAACACUCACUGGCUGUGUGAACUUGGGUAAGUGAGUGCGAUGAACACACUGUCCGUGUCCUGAGUACCUGCUGAAUAUUAACUCUGUUACUACCCCUCCCAGGCCUGCCAUUUAGCACCCCCGCCCCCAUCACUAAGGGUUAAUGCCGCCGUAGCCUGAGGAUGUGUUCCUUUUCCCUCCCCAAACCGCCUCUUGCUCAGCUGGCUCAUGUUGAACUUGAAACCGACUAAAACCUCCUGAUCUUUUUUUAUGUGAAUUGCAGUCAAGCCAGGUCUCCCUCAUCCCCUUCUUGUGCAAUUGAUUUUUGGAACCUGCAUUCAAGACAUUAGAUUUAUUGAUGCUAACUUUCAUCUGGUUGCUUUUGACCUAGCAUUCUUAACUGUGGAGAUCAUCUUGAACCUUAAUUCUCUCAUCCCCUCCAGCUUUGAGUCAUCUGCAAAUUUGGUGCACAUGCUUUCCAUGUCUUCAUCCAAAUUGCUGGCUUAGAAAAGCUAUUUAUAUGGAUAAAAAUAGAGAUAGAGAUAUAGGCCGCUUUACAAGAGGGGACCUUGUGCGUAAGGCUGAGCACUGGGGUUUAUCACGCGGGCAGCAGGGGGCUCACAGCCCUGAAUCGACAUUUAAACCUUUUCUGUACGCACCCCCUCGUACGCACUUGUAUUUGCCCCUGGCUCCCGAAUGUUCUCAGUGAUGACAAGGGGAGUUCACUGCUCAGCCACCCUGACUGUGGUGUCCUCUAAACUAGCAAAUCCCCUGGGCAGAUCUGAAUCCUUUCCCGUCUGCACCAGGUGAAGCUCCAGGGCCAAGUCUUGUCCUUCCCCCUUCUCACUGUUUCUUAAACUGAGACCACCCCCACCUUGGGGCCUCGCCAAAUACCUGCUGUUAAUCCAAGAAACCAAUUCUUGCUCGCUCAGAGGAAGAGGUCAUGGACCACAACGUCUUAAUGUGCUUCCCGCUCAGAUGUUUCCAUUGUAACAGGGGCCUUCUGUGUCCGAACCGCAAGGCCGGAGCCGGGGUGGGUGUGCUAUUAGCCACCUGUGGCCACGUGGGGCUCUGGCCUCAGUCCCAGGCCCCAAGGGCAUCCCGUGUCACAGCAGACAGCGGCCGGCACUGCUCAUAAGCAUGACUGCAAGUCACCAGGGAAAGACUUGGGGCGCUCUGUUCAAGACAGAGAAAGGAGAAAAAAAAUUCUAGGAGUAAUUUACAUCUAAAGUGGCUUAAAUUACCGAGAAAAAGAAAAAAAAAGCCACUGAUUAUUUUUUUCCUCCAGACAAGACUCUCUGAUGUUGUGUGAGCUAGGUGGUGGCUGGUGGCAGAACUUUCUAAAGCCCCAAGCUCCCUGCAUGUCCAGACACAUCUGCAGGCACCUGGCUGAGGACCCCUAGCCCCAAGAGAGUUAGCUGGCUCAGUGCACUCAAUCCCUCUUUGAUGUCCUCAGUACCAGAGCCUUCCCAUUUUACCCACAAUAUUCCUUUAUAGGAAAAGUUUGAUGAAGACCAUAAAGAGCAGUUGCUCUUUCCUGAGUGCCUGCCAUGUGCCAGGCAUUGUGCUAGACCUUGAAACCUCCCACCUUUAAUCUCUUCAACCUUAGGAAGCAGAUUGUUACUAUUCCCAUCUUAUGGAAGAGUAAACUGAGGCCCACAGAGAUAAACUGCCUAUGGUCACAAUAAAUAGCAAGACUGGAAUUUGAACUCUGUUCUC